AAUUAGCCGUUUGAAAGAGGAUCUUCGUUUCAAUUUGUGUUCUCCGUCUUCCUCCUAUAUCUCUUCUGCGAAAGAUUUGCCCAUGGCCCGAGGAGGAUGCAGACUCCGAUCAUUGUAAAAAAUCAGGAAGGAAGAUACAGAGUUUGAUCACAAGCGAAGCUUAUAGUAAUCAUUCACGGAACUAUUGAGUAAUCAAGCCCAAUGGAAAACUAGCAGAUCAGAUCAGGUAUAAUAAGUAUCCAGUUGGAGCAAUCGAGUUAAAACCAGACAAAGAAAAUAACAUAUAAAAAAGAUAGAAGGAUGCAAAAGGAUUGUAAAAACCUUUUAUGUCUAUCCAUUUGGGUGCAGUUUCCGAGAUUGGCCACUCAGACUAAGCUGGUGACAGAGAGCGAGAACUGUUGGAGAGCACUGGCUUGGAACCCCGCACUAAAUAUCUGCAAACCAUUGCAAUGCAGGUGACUCGCCAGUGGAAUUAUACAAUGCAUGAGAGACAGCCAGCCUCGUAACAUUUUGUCCAUCGCAAAUGUUGGGCUAAGAGAAAACCUCUAGAGUGUCAUCUUCUUGUUUCUGAAUCAAAUCCUUCUUUCAGAUUUAUAAUUAGAAAAUGCUCUUCCAUUAAGUGUUUCGAAGUGAGGAAAAGGCUUUACGGCCAUCAGCACGAUGCUCAACGCAGUGACCCCAUUUUUAACAUUGCUCAGUUGAAAGAAGCUUCAGAGGAAAACAAAACAGAUUCAGGUCUAUCACAAAUGGCUAAGAUUCUCGUUCAUGAAGUUCAACAUUCUGUCAGUUAUGUGUCUUCCCUAUUCUUAUUAUGCUUAGUCGUUUGACUUUUCCCUAUUCUGUCAGUUGCAUUCUCCUUCUUUCUCCUGCAGUAGUAAAAUUAAGAUAUUGUUAUGUUCUCAAAUCAGAAACAUGUACAUAAUGUAGCACCUUUCAGAGACCGUUCUUCCGUUGAUGUCAAGUCCAUCGCAAAUGGAGCUCUGAAAAUUUCUGAGAGACAGCCUUUAGAGUGUCGCCUAGUUUCUGCAGCUUUUAAUCCUUCUGCCAGAUAUGUUGCCUUCCUCUUUUAAAUAGACUUUGUUUAAUGAAAUUACAUUCUCAAUAUUUCUUCUGUUCUCUAUGUGAAUCAAAGUUUUAAUUUACUUCUGAUGCUUUAGGUAUGACAUCACUUUAGAAGGCUAUAUUACUCGGCUGGAGACGUCAGACAUGAAAACUGAGCAAUGACCGUUUUGCUGAUUAGCACCUUUUUAUAACAUGUUAGCAGAGAAUUCUUUGGUUGUUAAGGAAAUAUACUCCAAAGCUGAAUUGACGAUUUUAAGUAUUUAAUUUAUUGUUUAUACUUGUUUGAACAAUUUAUAGAUUGACCACUCAGACUAAGCUGGUGACAGAGAGCGAGAACUGUUGGAGAGCACUGGCUUGGAACACCACACCAAAUAUCUGCAACCCACUGGUAAAUUUUUAUCUAGUCAAAUAUUUUAUAUACCUUAAAUUAAUGAGUCCUUUUUGUGCAUGUUAGUGCAUCAUUAAGAACUGAAGUCAAUAGCUCUAGUCUUCGGUUACAGAGAAUAAUAUUGAAAGUUUUCAGCCUUUUAUAUGUUCUCUAAUCGCUUAUGUGGAGGUCAGUCGCAAAUAGAAUUCUACAAUGUAUGAGAGAAAACCUCUAGAAUAAACUACCCACUUAUCUUAACGCCACUAUGUAAAGAAGCUGAAGAUGCAUCUUCCGAUUGCUAUUGCUGAAAAACAGCACAGAGAAGAACCAGGAACUGGAGCAAGAACAGAUUUUUUGGAAGAACAUGAAAGAUUUUGAAAUUUGCAAGCAAUGCAGGUCACUCGCCAGUGGAAUUAUACAAUGCAUGAGAGACAACCUCAUCUUACAGUUCUGUAAGUUUUAAUCCUUCUUAGUGAUUUUCUUUUAUUUAUUCUUACCAAGGAAGAUACGACCACAAAACGAAGCUUCUAGUAAUAAUUCAUGGAACUUUUGAGUAAUUAAGCCCAGGUAUGUUCCCUUCAAUCCUUUUCUUCUGCUUAUUCUUUUGUUUUUGCUUCUAUAGUUUGAUCUUCAGACGUGUUUUCAUCUAGUUCAUCUUUGACGCAUAACUUGUGAGUAUUUCGAACUAGAAUUCAGAGAUUCAUUCUAACUUGCUUUGCUUUUGCACAACUAGUUGGGAUGGCCGAAAAAUGGGAAACAUUACGUGUUUACUCAGUUAUAUUGAAGAUAAGUUUAUAAGCUACCACUUAGCCACUCAUGAAGGAGAUAACUAUAUAAUUCGAUCAAACCUAGAAAACAACAUACUGUAUAGUGUACACGUUUUGUCUAUUUCAGGUCCAUCGAAAAGGGAGCUCUAAAGUGUCUGGAAUAAAUCUCUGGAAUUUUAUCUUCAGGUUUCUUGAAAUUUCAGUGAGUCCCAUGUAUUUGCGCUAAGCCUCUACAUUAUAGUAUCUCUCAGAUGGAGCUCACAAAUUGCUAAGAAAAACCUCUAUGUCAUCUUCUUGUUUCUGAAUCAAAUCCUUCUGUGGAGUUUCUGAACGUUCCUAUUUUUUAUUAUUGUUUGUCGUUUAAUUUUGCUCUUAUAGUUCGAAGUUACAUUCUCCAUUUUGUGGAAAAUGCUUUUCCUGCAAGUUUAUAGAAGUGGCUGAAUGCUCUUCCUGUAAGUGUCAAGAACUCGACGCUGUUUUGCACUUCCUAUUGAACGUUUUCUGAAGAAGCGGGUUGAAGGAAGCCUGAGAGAAAAACAAAACAGAGUCUCUUUGCCUGUUUAAGGUUCAUCGCAAAUGAUUUUGGUAAGGUAUGUGUCUUCCCUGUUUCUACUAUUCUUAGUCGUGUGAUUUUAUCUUGUAGUUUCAAGUUGUAUUCUCCUCUUUUCUUCUGCAUUAGUAAAAUUUAAACUUUUGUUAUGUUCUAAAAUCAGAAACACGUCUAUAAUUCCGUACCGUUCAGGGACCUUUAAACAUGACUGAGAGACAACCUUUAGAAUGUCGUCUUCUUUAUAUUCUUUUUUGCUCUUAAAGUUUGGAGUCAACAUAACUUCAUGCAUCAUGGACUCAUGCAUAUAAGACCACCUAUUCGUUAAUAUCUAUUGCUUACAUGCUUGCGUUCAGGCAUACAAUCCCUAUAAAUGCAUAGGCAUCCUUGCAUAUAUAAUAUAUUCUUUGUCCAUUUCUUCCUUCAUCACUUCGUUGCUUACAUGCGUAACCUGUUUACUUGCUUCCUUUGCUUACUUCCUUGCUUGUUUUUUUUUCUCUCAACUUGUUUUCUUGCUUCCUUCCUGUGUUACCUAAUUGCUCGCUUCUCAGAUUUCUCUGUUGAGUUCAGUUUUUUUUUCUGUUUAGUUCAUUGAUUAUUUGCUACUUGAUUUUGUAAGUGUUCUCACUUACUCGCACGCUAACUAGCUGUUCUUUAAAAUCAUCAUUGACCAAUAUAUUUAUUGCAAGAUCUAUAUUACAUUAGUUUUAGUUCAUUUAUUUAUUAAUUUUGUCCUUAAUUACUUGCUUUCUUAAUUCUUUACUGGUUCGUUUUCUUGCCUGCUUUGUUAGUUGCUAGCUCUCUUAAUUACUUGCUUUCUUGAUUUGUUGCUAACUUCUUUGCUUCAUUCCUUGAUUCUCUGCGUGCUUGUGUUUCUUUCUAAUUUUAUUUAUUUCUUGCUUGCUUCCUUGUUUUUCUUAGCUUCAUGCUACUUUUAUCAUUUUCUUACUUACCUUCCUUACCUACUAGACCUUUUUAACUUCUUUAUUUCCUUACUUUGAACUAACCCUCUAGCUUAAUAUAUUUAGAUACUUCUCGGUUACUCGUUGAGAGUAGCACAGGUGGAGACUCUUGAGCGUCUAUCAAGGAAACUAAAGUACUAGUUCAUCAACAAUGCCUCCACAUGGAUCAUCUCUUUUGUGAAGGCCUAUGAUGAUCAUUCUUUUUCCGUUACUUCUUCAUUCUGAUCUCGUUUGUAUCUAAAUAUUUUAUUUGACUGUUUUAAUUAUUCAGGGUCUGAGAUCAGGCGUUUACUCUCUCUGCUACCAUGAAACAGGUCCAUCUUUUUCAUGCAUGUCUCAUACCAUCUGUCGUCUUUUUUAUGUAUGACUCAUACCAGCAACUCUUUGACAAAUAUUUUUCGUCAGAUGUGAUGUGUUAUCUUGUGCAUGUUAUGAAAUGGAAGUCAGAGAUUCAUGCUUACUUCCUUAGAUUUUGCAGAACAAGUUCAGGAUAUGAAUCUUCAACCAAAAGUAGUUCGGAUGGCAGAAAUGGAAGAAUUACGUGUUGAGGUCAAAGGCGAGAGUCUGUUCACUUUCAGAUAAGUUCGCUGCCUGUGGAGUAGCUCUUUGACGAUGAUUUUGUAUUGUAAGUUUUUGAUGUGUUCUCAAAUCAGAAGUACAUACUUUAUACGCUUAUUUGCAGAAUUAUAGCAAUCGGAGCUCUAAAAUGUGUGUGAGACAAUCUCUGGAAUUCCUUUGAGUCCCAUCGCAAAAGCUCUAAAUGGCUACGAGAAAACAACUAGCCUGACAUCUUCUUAUUUCUGAAUCAAAUCCGUAUGUCAGAUUUAUAAUUAGGAAAUGCUCUUCCUGUAAGUGUUUCGAAGUGGCGGAAGGGAUUUACGACCGUCUUUAAGUUUACUCAGUUGAAUGAAGCCUCAGAGGAAAACAAAACAGAUUCAGGUCCAUCACAAAUGGCUAAGAUUUUUGUUCAUGAAGUAACAUUCUGUCAGAGACCGUUCUGUUGAUAUCAAGUGCAUCGCAAAUGGAGCUCUAAAAUUUCCGAGAGACAUCGUCUACUAGUUUCUACAGCUUAAUCCUACUUCUGCCAGAAAUUACAUUCUCAGUAUGACAUCACUUUAGAAGGCUAUAUUACUCGGCUGGAGACGGUCAGACAUGUGGAGCUUGAGAUUGGCUACUCGGAUUAAGCUGGUGACAGAGAGCGAGAACUUUUUGAGAAAACUGGCUUGGAACCCCGCACUAACUAUCUGCAAACCAUUGGCAAUGUAUGGCAUCACUUUAGAAGGCUUUAUUACUCAGCUGGGGAUGUCAGACGUGUGAAGCUUGAGGUUAGAACAUGGCAAAAGAAAGAUCCAGUCGUGGAAGCAGUGAUGAAAUAUGUCAUCUUAUUAGCGCUCAGUAUGUUACUCUGAAAACAGGAGCAAGAAAAAGAAACAGGGCCUUCCUUUAUCGAUGGUAACCUCAUACAUCAUGGAUUCUUCAUGCAUAUAAGACCACCUAUCCAUUAAUGCUUACUUGCUUAUUCUGUUUACUUCAUUGCUUGCUUUUUUCUCAACUUGUUUUCUUGCUUCCUUGAUUACUCCCUUAGAUGCUUUACUUGCUUGCUUCUUUGUCUUUUGGUUCUUCUGUUUAGUGCAUUGUCUGUUUCUCUGACUUAUUGAGUUCAGUUUUUAUUCUCUGUUUCUUUGAUAUUUCUGUUUAGUUCAUUGAUUAUUUGCUACUUGACUUUGUUAGUGUGCUCACUUACUCGCACACUACUAGCUGUCUAACAUGAUUUUUAAGAAUCAUCAUCCAAUAAAUUUAAUUUACUAUUUAUUACAUAACUUGCUUUUUUGAUUCUUUACUGGUUUGCUUUUUCUUCGUUAUUUUCUUUCUUUGGUUCGUUAGUUACUAGCUCCCUUAAUUAUUUGCUUUCUUGAUUUGUUGCUUACUUUUUUUCGCUUGUUCCUUGAUUCUCUGCAUGUUGUCUUCUUUCUUAUUUAUUCCUUGCUUGCUUUCUUGUUUCUUUGAUUUCCCGCUUACUUGCUGCAUUGAGUUGUUUACUUUAUUACUUGCUUCCUUUUCUUCUUUGCUUUCUUAAAUACUUGAUUCCUUCCUAGCUUAAUGAUUAUUUUAUCAUUUUCUUAGUUUCUUCAUCGCUUAUUUAACUUCCUUACCUUCUGGGCUUGUUUAACUUUCUUUGCUUAAUAUCUUUAGAUACUUUUCGGUUACUAUUUGAAUGUUGUACAGGUGGAGACUCUCUAGCGUCUAUCCAGGAAACUAAAGUCCUAGUUCAUCAACAAUGCCUCCACAUGGAUCAUUCUCUUUUGUUAAGGCCUAUGAUCAUUAUGUUUUUGUUACUGCUUCAUUCUGAUCUUGUUUGUAUCUAAAUAUUUCAUUCUGACUGUUUUAAUUUUUCAGGGUCUGAGAUCAGACAUUUACUUGCAAUGCAACCAGUCACUGAACCAGGAACCUUAUGAGUUCUCUGGCACCAUGAAACAGGUUUUGCAGAACAAGUUCAGUAUAAGAAUCUCCAACAAAACUAGUUUGGAUGGCAGAAUAUUUGACGAACUACGUGUUGAGUUAAUUACAAAGAAAAUAAUUAUAAAAGGUAUCACUUAACAGUGUUUCAAAAAAAAAAAAAAAAAAAAAGGUAUCACUUAACCAUUCGUGAAAGACGUUGUGUUGUACUUGUAUUGUUUCCUCAUUAAUGAUCACCUAUUCUUUUGAUUAAUCUAACAGUUUUAGUGAAAAUAAGUAAGAUCAGAUCAGGUAUUCCGGUCAUAAGAACGUUUUGAAUAAAUAUAUGUAUUAUUGGAGCAAUCGAAUGACGCCAGACAAAUGUUAAAGAGAUGUAUAUGUUUUUGUAAUGCAUUUCAGGUCAAGAGCGACAAUCAGUUCACUUCACAGUAGUUGUCGUGAUCCCAUUUGGCAUUAGCCCUGAAUUUGAAGAUAAGUUCACUGCAUGUGGAGUUGAUCUUUGAGAUGAUUUUGUAUUGUAAGCUUUUGAUGUGUUCUCAAUAUCAAAAUCACAUAAUGUAUAUGCUUAUUGGCAGAUCCAUCACCAGUGGAGCUCUAAAUGUCUGUGAGAUAACAUCUUCAAGUUUCUUGAAGUUAAGUCUGUGUCCCAUGUAUCUGUCUUCAAUCUUUUCUUCUGCUUUUGAUUUUAUAGUUAUAAAUUUCGAGCUUUUGGCAUGUUCUCAAGUCUGAUCCACAUAUACAUCAUCGUAUCUCUAAGAUUUCGUUUUGUCUAUUUCAGGUCCAUCGCAAGUGGAGCUCAAAUAUGGCUAAGAUACAACCACGAUACCGUGUCAUCUUCUUGUUUCUAAAUCAAAUCCUUCUGUCGAGUUAACAACAUGGAAAAAUAAAAACCCAGUUGUGGCAGGUUUGCACCUUUUGUCCUUAACAGGUCUUAAUGUCCAAGUUACUAUACCAAUCAAAUAUGGUAUAUGGCCUAACAUUCAAAACCUGUCUCUUAGACUAUGGUGGCUUGGAACUCCGCCUUAAGCCUCUGCAAACCACUAGUCCUUUAAGAACAGCAGUCCAUAGUCUGGAGAAAAAAGGCAUAAACGGUUACAGAGAAAGGCACAAACUUAUGGAAAAGAUAUAAUCACGAAUGAAGCUUUCUAGACAUCAUUAAGGCCAGGGAACUACAGAGUAAUCCUACCAAACUUUGUAAGUAUGUUCAAUCAUUUUCUUUUGGUCUUUUGAUUUUGCUUGUAUAGUUUGAUGUUCUCUCUGUUUCCUCUGCAGCAACAGAUUCCAUAGUCUGAUGUGAUGUAUCUCAGAGAAUGUUAUAUAUAGGUUCUUCUCAAUCACUUAAAUUUUCAUUCACACAUACAUACAUGUGUGCAUACAUGUGUGCAUUCGGACAUAUUGCUUUCUUGAUUCUUUACUGGUAUGCUUUCUUACUUUCUUUGUUAUUUUUAUUUUUAUUUUUAUUUCUUUUCUUCGUUAUUAUCUCUCUUUGCUUUGUUUCAACUGUUCCUUAGUUCCCUGCGUGCUUGUUUUCUUUCUUAUUUGUUUCUUGAUUCCUUGCUUUAUUGUGUUCCUUUUUUGCUUCCUUCCUUGUUUUUCUUUGAUUUCGUGGUUCCUUGCUGUAUUUACUUUGUUACUUGAUUUACUGGUUUCUUGCUGUAUUUACUCUUUGUUUACUUUCUUACUGCUUCUUUGUUCAUUGAUUUCCUAAAUACUUGAUUCCUUACUAGCUUCCUGCUUUUAUCAUUUUCGUACUUGCUUCCUUUGUUUACUUGGUUAUCUUACCUACUGGACUGCUUUAACUUUCUUACUCAGAACUAACCAUAUCUUUAUAUAGUUCUCGGUUACUGUUUGAAAAUAGCAUAGAUGGAGGGUAUAGAUGGAGACUCUUGAUCACUAAGGAAAGUCUCGUUAAUGAACAUCGCUUCCACAUGGAUCAUCCCUUUUGUGAUGAUCAUUCUGUUUUUGUUAUUUCUUCAUGCUGAUCUCGUUUGUAUCUAAAUUCUUUUAUAUGUCCGUGCUAAUUAUACAAGAGGGUUAGAUCCUGCCAUUUACUAGCAACCGAGUCUCUGACACCAUGAAACAAGUUCCUUUUUCAAGUACGUAUUUGCCAAAUAUUUUUCAUUAGACAUGUUUGCAUGUAGUCCAUCUUUGAUACCUAACUUGUGACUAUUACUAACUAGCGGUUGGAGAUUCAUGCUUACUUUCUUAGCUGUUGCAGAACUAAUUUGGAUGCCAGAAAAUUGGAAGAAUUACGUGUGUUCUUUCAAUUACGAAGAAAUAAGUAUAUAAGGUAUCGCUUCAUCACUUAACCAUUCAUGAAGGACGUUGUGUUGUACAUUAUUGUUUCCUCAUAAUUGUUCAUCUAUUCUUUUGAUUAAUCUAACAUAAUGUAUAUGCUUAUUUCGCAUAUCAAACUGCCUGAAACACAUUAUUUGCAUUCGUGGAUUCAUGCCUACGUUCAUCUAUACAUCGCAUUCAUGCAUUUGUUCUUCUGUAAUUAUUUGUUUCGUUUCAUUGCUUCCUUCACCGAUUCUUGCAUGCUUGACCUGUUUUCUUGCUUAAUUCUUUGCUUCUUUUGUUUACUUUUUUGCUUGUGUUUUUUGAUUAACUUAUUUGCUUGCUUUCUUGUUUUCUUGAUUGAUUAUUGCUUCUCUGAUUUCUCACUUUCACUUCAUUGUUUAAUUCUCUCUUUCUUUGAUUCCUCUGUUUCGUUCAUUGAUCAUUUUUCUCUUAUUUCACUACUUGUUUUGUCCUACUUGAUAUUGUAAGUGUGUUCACUUACUCGCGCCCUAAUAGCUGCCUAGCAAUUGUUUUUCAAAGUUAUUAUCGUUCAGCCUUAUGUAACUUUAAUUCACUCUUAUUUAUUUUUAGUAAUUUACUGCAAUUAGCAUUAUUAUUAUUAUUUGUUGUAAAAAAGCAUUUUUUUAAAAGCAACUGCAGUUAGCAUUUAUCAGCUAAUUAUACUUUAAAUUAUCAGGCAGCUGAGACGUCAGACAUAUUUUUUUGGGUAAAAGAGUUAGAAGAUUCUUGUGAGAUAAAAUUUUAACAUGUUGUAUGCAUCUUCCGAUUCGAUUACAUGACAAUGUGUAUGAAAAUUGUUUAUAAUAUAAUAAAAAUUAGUUUAGUUAA